rnacentral:rRNA from 1 species
ACGGAGGGUGCAAGCGUUAUCCGGAUUCACUGGGUUUAAAGGGUGCGUAGGUGGGCAGGUAAGUCCGUGGUGAAAUCUCUGAGCUUAACUCAGAAACUGCCGUGGAUACUAUUUGUCUUGAAUCUCCUGGAGGUAAGCGGAAUAUGUCAUGUAGCGGUGAAAUGCUUAGAUAUGACAUAGAACACCAAUUGCGAAGGCAGCUUACUACAAGAGUAUUGACACUGAGGCACGAAAGCGUGGGGAGCAAACAGGA